UUCAGAAAUUGCUACCUGACAUUAAUAAACACAAAAUCAACAUGGAAUACCUAUUAGACACUUUGAGUUUUAAGAUUUUACAUUUAGUCACUCAGUUAAUCUUUAUAACUCUGUGAGGUGGUUAUAAUAUCCACUUUCUGAUGUAGAAUCAGAAAUUAAGUAGCUAGAUUAAAUUUUCCUUCAUAGUAAGUGGUAAGGUUAGGAUCCCAAAGAAGCUAUUGUCCAGAAACAUAAAUGUGUUGAAAAGAUUUUGGGUUAAUUGGUGAAUUAUAACUCUUUGAACUAUUUUUACAGGGAUGUUGACCUUGAGGCAACAUUGUUGUACUGCGUAACUGUCAGACUCCUCCCUCCACCUGCCCUGAAGGGCUACUCUUGGAGGCUGAGUUCUGGCCUGGAUGGAUCCAGUUUGUCAACACAUGCAUUAUUAAGUUCUGAUCUUAAUAAUAAACCUCAACAGAGGAGCCUGGCUGACUCACCCAGAAAUCUGCUUCAUCUUGAGCAGCAGGAUUCCCACCCCAUCUGAAGUAUCUAAUUAACCCGCCAAGUCUUCUCACUGUGACCAGAUGAACACAGACUUGGCAGAGCAGAGAAGCACCUCCGGCCUGUUGAUAUGCGGGAAAGAGGUUGGGCACCCUGGAAAGGCCUUUUUUGGAGGUCAGCAGAAUUAUUGAGAUCAAGACAUAAGCUGUGUGGGCCUCCAGUUGUACUGUUGCCCCGAAACCUGCAAAUGUGUAACCCUGGGAUAGCAGGACUCAGUCCGCUCAUUUGUAAGCUGAAGAUCACUAUCUCUCAGGCUGUGAUGAGAAUUGAUAAUGCUUGUCAAAGCACUUCAUAAAUUAUGAGGCACUACCUCAAUAUGUAAGUUAUUAUUAUUUAACAUUACUGUCUAAAAACACUUUUUAAAUGUUGAAUGAAAAUCUCUUUCCACGUAACUCAGAAUAACAGAAUCUUCAAAGUGAAAGAAACCUUACAAAUUAUAUAGACCACUUUUAUAUUCUUCCUCCUACGCUUUCUGAGACAGCCCAUUUCAUGCUUUGAUAGCAUAGUUUUUAGAGUUGAAAUGUGCCUCUCUUUUCAUCUUUGUAAUCUGCCCUUAUCAGAGGCAUCAUUACUGCGACACCCUUUUCUUUGGAUUGUACCUCUUGCU
rnacentral:lncRNA from 13 species